CUCAGCUCUACCGUUGUGCCAGAAGGAGCCAUUCCUAGUGUCCUUCGUUGUACCGUGGGAUACAGAUAUUUAUGGCUGUUUCUACUUCUGGGAUGUUUUGCCGUGGAAACAGUGGGCCAGGAUACGUUGCACAGAUUAGGGAUCAGGAAGCAGCUUUAAUGAUACUGAGUCCUGACAAGUGGCUUUCUUCUGACACUAAUUGAUGCUCAGAGUUGAUACGUUAGACGACUGUAACAGAGAUGUCGGCCAAAGUGACUCAACGGAAUUUAAUAAAAAAGCCAUUUGAAGGGGAAAAAAAAGGUAGAUGCCGAGUAAAGUUUUCAGAAUGGAUAUUUCGCAUGCGAAACGUAAUCGUGGCAAUAAAACUUUUCUUGCCUGCUGAGAGUGAAGACACUUCUGUUCCCUGGUAAGAUUAUACGAUCGCGUCGUGAAAAUAGAGAAAAAUGAAAGAGAUUGACAAGAGGCAGAGUCUGCGUGAGAGUCGAAUGUUGAGUUGAAAUUUGCGUCUUAAAAUCCACCUGUAUUGACGUUGCGUUAUCGUGAAAGCAGGGAAAGGGAGAGAAACGCGAAUAAAUGGAAAAUGGUAAAUGGGGUGCACAGAGGAAAAUGGAAAAUGAGAAAUAAAAUAUGAACGACAACGUGACGUUUGUGUAUAACGAAUACGUUAAAUCCUGAUGUUGCAUUAUCUUCGAGAUAUCUCGUUGUCUCAAUCGAAAUUUUAAAGUCGACUUUAUGCCUACUGAAAGCUUUAUUUUCUACGUGAAAACCAAGUGACGCAAUAAUUUUUCUUUUUUUUACAGAAAUACAGACUGUAUAUCAAAACAAUUUUUUUUACAUAGUACAAACUGUUACGUCAUAAUUUCCUUCUGUUCUUGCGAAUUGCAUCUGUUAUCACUGUCGUAUACAACGUCGGUUUGUGCUUAUCAUUGAUACUGGUUUAUGGAGUAACUUCAGUUGCUCGUUGCCAUUUAUAAAAUGGAAAAUAAAUGAAAAUCCUUAUCAAAUAUAAGAAAAAUCUAUUAAAUAAAUCAUUUCAUAACAAUUAAUAAUUUCAUAUUUUUUUUUUAUUUUACUCGUGCAUCCUGUCUUGUCAUUCGAACGCGACUGAAUAUAUCUGUCUAACUGACUGUCAGUAUAGGCGUGUGAAAGAAACCUUAAGGCUAGUUCAUAACUUCUACCUAGUACCCCACUGAUACGACAGGCCAGACAGGUUAGUCGCUUUCUCUAGCUUUUCUAGCCUGAUCCGCAGCAGGGCUGACCCACGCUAAGCGUAACAGUUUACCGAUAGCACAUCAAUUCAAUUCAGCGUUCGAUUAGAUAGUCGCUAUUGACAAAACUACCGAAACCAAAGGGAGCGUUCGUGCUGCAGCGACUAUUAUUUUUUAUCCUAUAGAAAUACCAGUCUACAUCCUAGAAUAGAAAAGCGAUCGGAGCCAUCCCCAAAAUUGUCUUCUUGUUAAAUUGUAACACUGACCCCAAGUGUAUACAGACACGUGACAGGUCCAAAAAGAAAAACUCCACUGUGCUGUAAUUGGUAUAAAAUACAAUUAAAAAAAAAAGUGCACGUUAAAAU